UUUCCGUAGGUGAACCUGCGGAAGGAUCAUUAAAAAAAAGGAUGCGCUCCGACGCAUAGCUCCUCUCAGCCCCCUUGCCAUGAGGCGGGGGCUUGAUUGAGUCCCUUAACCCUUUGUGAACUUUAUACCUUUUGCUUCGGCAGCACGCCCUCCCUUGGGAAGGUUGGUAAGGCUGCCGCCGAUAGCCCAUUUUAAACCAUUUUAUUUUAAAUCAUGAAGUCUGAUUACUGUUAAAUUUAAACAAGUUAAAACUUUCAGCAACGGAUCUCUUGGUUCUC
rnacentral:misc_RNA from 1 species